GACGAACGCUGGCGGCGUGCUUAACACAUGCAAGUCGAACGGAAAGUCCCUGCUUUUGUGGGGUGCUCGAGUUGCGAACGGGUGAGUUACACGUGAGUACCCUGCCCUUGACUUUGGGGUAACUUCAUGCAACUUGGUCUAAUACCGGCUAGGAUCUCCUGCUGCAUGGUGGGGGUUGGAAAGUUUCGGCGGUUGGGGAUGGACUGGCGGCUUAUCAGCUUGUUGGUGGGGUAGUGGCUUACCAAGGCUUUGACGGGUAGCAGGGCUGAGAGGGUGAGCGGACAAACUGGGACGGAGAUAAGGCACAGACUAGUACGGGAGGCAGCAGUGGAGAAGAGUACACAAGGGGAGGGAGCAUGAUGUGGCAACGCAGCGUGGGGGAUGACGGGAUGGGGGUUGGAAACCGAUGUCGCCUGUGACGAAACGAGAGUGACGGUAAUGGGUAAAGAAGCACCGGCUAACUACGUG
rnacentral:rRNA from 1 species